UCAGGAUUUACCAGGGAGAUGAGCUAAUCUAAUGCAUUGAUUCGAGCCUGCUGACACUCCUAGGAAUUAAUUGGAGGGUUUCAAAUACUCAGCACUGACUUAAGGAGACCAAUUCUAAAUGGAUGUUCAUUGGCAAGAGGCUGUUGCAAGAAACUUCCAAGUUUUUAAAACACUGAAUACGGUUGAUUGAACAGAAGAGGCCAUGAGACGCACAGGCUGAAAACAGAAAACUGAUGAUAACAAUAUAUUAGCUACAAAGUAAGUAGGAUGUAUCUCUAGGAAAAUUAUAGUUUCCUCUUUAUACGAGUCCCCAAAACCUGGAAAUAUCCUUGAUAUUUCAGUAUCCAUAAAAUCCCCUUUAUUUCCCCUUCUCCCCAUUAUGCUGACUUAACCCUCCUCUCCAUCAUCGUCCCCAAAAGAAUAAAGAAAUGUAGGGUUUUUUUUUUAAACUAGCGUCUCAAUGAACUCAGACUGGAAAUCUAUUUAAACUACAUUGUAAUUAUUCUAUCUAUAAUAAAGGUUUACAUUAGGUUAGCAAAAUUUACAAAACAUU